rnacentral:ncRNA from 1 species
UUCGUUAGCGCGGGGAGCCGGAAGCGGCUGAGAGGCGAAUCCUUGAGGGGACGCUAUCCGUACGGUGUACGGUGCGGGCGCCCGGGGAGGAGCGACCCGAGGAGAACCUGAUCCGGGUAAUGCCGGCGGAGGGAGUGCUAGCGCACCCUGUG